rnacentral:tRNA from 1 species
UCCCUUGUAGCUUAGCUGGUAAAGAAUCUGCCUGCAAUGCAGGAAACCUGGGUUUGAUCCCUGGGUUGGGAA